rnacentral:lncRNA from 1 species
ACUUUUUUUUUUUUUUUUUUUUUUUUUUGUCUUUUGUCUUUGUUGUUGUUGUUGUUGUUGCUAUUUCUUGGGCCGCUCCCUCGGCAUAUGGAGGUUCCAAGGCUAGGGGUUGAAUCGGAGCUGUAGCUCCUGGCCUACACCAGAGCCACAGCAACGCGGGAUCCGAGCCGCGUCUGCAACCUACACCACAGCUCACGGCAACGCCGGAUCGUUAACCCACCGAGCAAGGGCAGGGACCGAACCCGCAACCUCAUGGUUCCUAGUCGGAUUCGUUAACCACUGCGCCACGACAGGAACUCCAAAAACCACUAUUCUUAAGAGUACAAAUUUGGUUAAAUGAAAGAUUUACAAAGAAUUGAAAACUGGGAAGGAAAAAAUAAAUCAAAUGAAAAGCACUGAGUGUCAUGGAGAAAAAAACCACAAAAGUACUUCAGAAAUCUUCCAUAUCUUCCCCUGACUUGACUUCAAGCCAAAGUAAAAUUUUAAGUCCUAAUUCCUCUGGGAAAUGGUAAGAAUGUCCUGAAGUAGAACCUGACUUUGAUCUGGAAGGAGAAGAUUUAAAUAUAAAAUUUUUUCGAUGCCACAUGCCCUCUGUAAACUAUUAUUUCUCACCUCUUUCAGAGCCAAACCUUUUUUUUGGGGCCAUGCCCAUAGCUAAGAUAUACUUUUGUAUGUUACCCUUUAAGCAACUGCUUUAUUUUAGCAUGUUUAAAACUUAAAAUAAGUUUUUAUUGCAGUUCCCUGGUGGCCUAGCUGGGAAAAGAUCCUGUGUUGUCACUGAUGUGGCACUGGCUGCAGCUGUGGCGUGGGUUCAGUCCCUGGCCCAUGAACUUCUGUAUGCUGUGGGCAAAGCCAAAAAAAUAAACUUUGGGGACAAUUGCUAAGAAACUAUGAAAGAUCCAAUGUAAUACAACAUUAAUGGUUAAGUCUGGUAAUGCAGGGUAAAGAAGGAGUAAAGCUGAGUUUUUCUUUGGCUCAAAGUGAAGAAAAAAAUAGGUUAGGUUAUGUCAAGGAUUAUGGUUCCUGAGUUUUACCUUCUGGUGGUGGAGUUGCUCAAAACAAGUCCCUAGGCUAUUCCAUUUGUAACCACUUAUGUGCCAAAUUCAUCAAAUCGUGAGUUAAGGGUGAGGAGGGUGACUGAUGAGCAUUUCCUAAAGUGUUUAAGACAGAACUGAGGAUUCACCUUUACAGCAAGUUCAAAAACAUAGGGCAUCAUCAGAGUCCAUAUCAUAUUAAUUACGAAUAGUACCUACUUACAUAACUGCUUACAAUUGUGUAUCUCUGUAGUUUCCAUGAGUGGCUAUAUUCACGAACAUAUUUAUAUUGGACUAAAUUUAUAUACUUGUUCUUGAAAUGAUUUCCAGUGCCGCUUUAUCCAAACCCAUUAAAAACUGAGAAAAACUGUAGGAGGGCUCACUUUUCUGAUUAAUCAUUAGCUACUGACAUUUCGAUUUUACAUCUUGACCUUGGGAUAUUUACUGCAUUUACCUUUUGCAGCAACUAAAUCCAGGAGCUAAAAUUAUGUCAACUUCUUACCAACACAACAGUGGGUCAACUAAAACAAGAUUAGAAAACAAGUAUUAGUUUUCUGAAUAUCGUUAACACAAAGUAAACUGUUCAAAAUAUGAAAUAUUAUAGUUUUCAGAAUGAGUUAAAGGUAUUCUCUGGAGAAACUCCAACUGCUGAUUGUUUGGCAUGCUCAUCUGUGUCCACUUUAGAAAUACAUACUAUAGGAGUUUCCCUGUGGCACAGCAGGGUAAGGACUCCAGGAUGUCACUGCUGAGAUCCCUAGCCCAGGAACUUCCACAUGUCCCAGGCAAGGGCCAAAACAAAACAAAAAACCCUCCAGAAAUAUACACCAUAGCAGAACUUAACUCAAUAUAAGGUUAUAAUACAUAUACAUGUUGGUUUUUUUGUCUUUUUAGGGCCACAACCAAGGCAUAUGGAGGUUCCCAGCUCAGGGGUUUAAUUGGAGCUGUAGCUGCUGGCCUACGCCACAGCCACAGCCACGCCAGAUCUAAGCCAUGUUUGCAACCUACACCACAGCUCACCGCAACUCACCGCAACACUGGAUCCUUAACCCACUAAGUGAGGCCAGGGAUCAAACCUGCGUCCUCAUGGAUGCUAGUCAGAUUUGUUUCCGCUGAGCCACAACAGGAACUCCCAUAAGGUUACGAUAUAAUGAGAACUUUUGUUAAAAUGUUCUUCAUUUUCUCCCUUAAGUUUGGUUAUCUUAACUCAAUUCUGUGAUCAGGUUAAAAUAAUUUUUACUUUAACUGCUGGGUUUACAUCACCUUUCAUUUCUGAGAAUGUUAAGAAAAUUGAUUUGAUCUGGGAAGAGAUACAGAAAGGCAGAUAACUAAUAGUUCUCUUGCAUUGAAUAGCCUGAAAUAUAAAAGCAUUAUUUUAGAACUUUUUGAGGCAUGAAACAAUUCUAACAUUUUUUUUAUGAUUUAGAAUAUCAUCUUAUUUAUUUAUUCUUUUUACCGCCACACCUGUGGCAUAUGGAAGUUCCUAGGCUAGGGGUCAAAUCAGAGCUGCAGCUGGGGCUUGUGACAUAGCUGAAUCUGUGAUCUAAGUUGUAGCUUGUGGCAAUGCUAGAUCCUUACCCAAGUGAAUGAGGUUAUGAAGCAACCGACAACCUCACAGAGACAACGGGUCCUUAACUUGCUAAGCCAUAACGGGAACUCUAAAUAUCAUCUUUUGGAGAAUUUAUAGUGAUUCUUAAUGAAGGGAGACAGGGUCUAAUUUUCAUAAUCAAUUGUGGGCCUUUUUUGAACUACACAGGUACACAAGCAAAAUUUUAUUGUUAUGUAAUUUUUUCCACUUCAGCCACCCCAGGCCUUAAGAUGAUCUCAGUAACAGGAAUUUUACAUUCCUUAUGUGGUAUGGGUUAAAAAAAACCCCUGCUGCCCUGUAUCACUUUAUCAGAGGAAAAAACUGGAAAUGUAUUCUACUAAGAAUUCGGUCAUUGAAGUAUGACUUACCAAUAACUCACUAAGAGUUCAUCUGAGGUAAUCCCUGUCUUUAUGUCCUAAGUACUCGAGACAACUUUUUAAAAACUUAAAAAAAUCCACAACAAACUUACAAGUUCCAAGGUCCAAGGUCCUCUACUAGAUGCUUCGCAUAACUCUGUUUAAUCCUCACCAAGAGGCUGCUACUACCACUGAAGCUUAAAAUGUUACUAAUUUCUGUAAAAAACUAGCAAGCCAUUUAAUAUAGAUUUGAAACUGAAGCAGCAGGGAUCCAGAGGCCACUAAUAUGGUUUAAGACACUAAAGUCAGCCUUACAUAACCAUUUCCAAGAGGACCUUCCUCCUCUAAAGGAGGAGGACUCAUUAAGGGUUGGAUUCUUGGGGCUGCUUUAAAAUUUUUAUAUAGUUGCUCUCUUUCUCAUGUUUUUAUUCUUCAGCAGUUAUGGAUGAAAGACUGCUAAGAAUUUUGAAUAUAAAGAUCACAAAUUUAGUAACUGAGUCAAAAUAUCUGGAGCUAAAAAAAGGACACUCAUAUUAUUAUAUAUCAUGCACCCAAACACCACAAAUACUACAAUAACAUCAAUAAGUUUUUAAAAAUCAGGGUUUAGGGCAAGGAGUUACUAAAGCAAAAUUAUUUUCAGAAAAUUCUCAUGUCCAGAUACUUGUUUCUUUUAAAUAUCUGUUACUUUACCAUAACUGUCACAGCUUUGCACUCUUACUGACCAAGUGUCUCUCAUGAUCAGACUUUCUUAGUAUUAGACUAAACCUUCACUCUAAGAAAUCUCCAGGAAGCUACCAUCUUCUCCAGGAACUACCAUGUAUAAAUUGAUCCUUAGGUCAUCUAUACAUCUUCAAAAUACAUUUAUGAGUACAAUUAGUAAUAAAAUAUUUGCUAAAACUUUUGUUAUUGUGUGACACACCACAAAAAAUACGGGAUGUGGAGGGCUGCUCUACUCUACCUCUGUACACUCACCUACAGUAUUUUAAAAAUACACAACAGCUGGUUACAACCCUGGAGAAUAAUUCAGCUAGGAUGCGUGGGCAAUAAGCUAAACACUUCUAGAGUUCUAUAGGCAAUCCAGACACUUAGCCCCGUUGCAAAAACCCUUGCUCUAACAGAAGUAACUCAAUACUCUUUUAACAAGCUAUUUAUAAUACAAAUCAAAUUUUGAGAGGUAGAAAGAAGGUAGGUUUCUUUAUCUACUGAAGGCAUUUCUAAUUUCACUUUUCCUAAUCCAAGUUUUCUCCAGGACACUGAGGUUAUUCUUUCAGAAGCUGGCAUCACCAACUUCUCGAAUACUAGUGUUGUAAAUAAAAUUGCUAUGGAGUGCCAGGAUUCUUUUUUCCUAAGAGUCAUGGGGUUGUUUUUAGGGCUAUUAACUAGAUUUGUCUCAUUUCUUUAUGGUUAGAUGUUCAAUGACUAUAAGGCUGGAAAAAUUUCUAAUUACCCAAACAUAUGACGAAUUAUAGAAAUCACUGCAUUAUACAAGUCGCGUUUCUCACAUAUACUAUUUCUGAGAAAUCUGCUGGGUUCCAUUUCCUUCACAAAUUUGUCUUCCACAGUAACUCAAAUUGAGGUUAUUGCUUAUAUAAAGAAGUAUCUUACAAAAUAAAGUUUGUCUAAGACAUAAAAACACUCCUGAUUCACCAAGCCCUAAAAAUAAUCUGUAAGAAUGUGAAACUAAGUCUAAAUGUAAAUCUGUUCAGUUUAUCUCUAUUAAGCUUAAAAUACCACAGUUAUACUGAAGAUGAGAAAGAAAAUGGUAAAGAUUUUUUCCUUUUCCUAUACUUACCAACAUUACUUGCAAAGGUUAUUUCUGGAUAACAAAUAAUUUCAUGAGCCUUUCUCAUUAUUGUAUUCAUGGACAAGUGAGACUAAUACAUAUUACCUUUGUUUAAAAAUGAAACAGGAGUUCCCAUCGUGGCACACUGGAAACAAAUCCGACUAGGAACCAUGAGGUUGCGGGUUUGAUCCCUGGACUUCUCGCUAAGUGGGUUAAGGAUCCAGCGUUGCCUUGAGCUAUGGUGUAUGUUGCAGACUUGGCUGGGAUCUGGAAUGGCUGUGGUGUAGGCUGGCAGGUGUAGCUCUGAUUCGACCCCUAGCCUGGGAACCUCCAUAUGCCACGGGUAUGGCCCUAAAAAGCAAAAAACAAACAAAAAACAGACCUGGAGUUCCUGUCGUGGCACAGCAGAAACAAAUCCGACUAGUAACCAUGAGGAUGCGGGUUCAAUCCCUGGCCUUGCUCAGUAAGUCAGUUAUCGGGUGUUGCCGUGAACUGCAGUUUAUGUCCCAGAGGUGAUGUAGGCCAGCAGCUACAGCUCUAAACCCCUAGCCUGAGAACUGACAUGUGUAAUGGGUGUGGCCCUAAAAAGCAAAAAAAAAAAAAAAAAAAAAAAAAAAAAAAAGAAAAGAAAAGAAACAAACCUACUCAUCUGAUUUAUCUGCAGCAUGACAUAUAUAAGAUCAUUCUUCAUAAAACUCUUUUUGUAAUUGUCAUCUGCAUACAUCUGGGUGAUGUUUCUACCAUGUUUUUGUCUUUUGUAAUCACUCUGCCUAGCCUUUCUUUGAUAUAAUCCAUUUAUCAGCAAUAAUUUUAACUCCUAACAGGUGAAGUGCAUAGCUCUACCAACCCAGUAAUUCGUUACUUUUGUUUUCACAAUAACAUGCAAAAUGAAACGUUUAACAGCACAAAUAUAUCAGCAUUUUUAGCCCUUCAGACACUUUCAGGAAGAAAUUUCCCAUCUUUUCAUAGUGUAGAUAGACUCUGAAAAAAAAACACACAGCAUUGUUUUAGUAACUGGAAAAAAAAUCACAGUUCAUUUGAGACACUGGGCAAAAUUACUUGAUCUCAGUUACUUAGUUUAAAAGAAAAUCAGUUCCUAAAGUAGUCGUAUAUAUGGAGUUCUACAAAUUAAACACUAAAUGUAUUUUUAAAAUAGCGAUCCAUGCUACCGAAGAUCCAGUCUUCGCAGUAUUUUUAAGCAUACACCCUAAGUUUCUUCAAAUGCCGCUACACUCCGGAACCAAACGCCAGCCUUAAACAGGUAUUCCCUUACAACAUCUCCCUGCCUUCGCGGGCACGUAUGAAGAUGUUUUAAACCAAGUUUAUUUACUUCCGUAGGAUUCAGUCCCUGUCACUUCUUUACUGCAGGCCCAAAGCAUCGUCCUUUUUCCAGCUCAGCUAUCUUCCAACAUCGAUUUCUUUGGAACCUUUUCCAAAUCAUCUCUGUAUGAAAAACCAGUGAAGGUGCAACACCUUGGGAAGGAUUAAGGCUGGCUGGAGAAUGAAUGACAAGAUAAAAAAUAAAUUUGGGAAGGGCAGCCCAAUUCUGUAGGUGGAAUCUUCUCCGACCAAAGGUGAGAGUGGCCACGCCGGGUCCCCGCAUCUACCAAAAAACACAACCGCCCCGACUAUCCUGUUUACGGUGCUCUGAGACCAGGAGACAAACUCCCUCAAUCCCUUAAUUAUAAACGGUGCAAGUGACAGGGACCAAUACCUGCAGGACCCUGAGGCCGAGGCCCACUCGGCCUCUGAUGCCGCCACUAGCCGGGCUCGUCCGACUCAGUCCCCAGGCUCUUCGGCCCGCUUGUCCUCCUCCUCACCGUCCCCUCUGCACCACCUCUCGGCUCCCGCGUUCCCUAAAACCUCAGCCGGCGCGGCGGAACCUUCCCCGCGCUCCUAACAU